CACAGCGGUCGGGACCCUGAAAAGACAGGCCAAGGUGGGCCUAUGAGAGAGGAGGUACAGUCUCUUUCCUCUCAAAUCUGGGCUCUGAGAAUCCAAAGUAGGUGUGACGGAAGGUCUUCCAGGCUUCCUCUCCUCUGAAGUCCUCACACAGCUCCUCCAGGUGGACCGAGGGAUGAACAUUCAGGAUGCAGUCAUCAAAACCGCAGUGACAAUCAAGAGAGAUCUGGAGGACAUCUGGGAGCAAAAGUCUCUAGGUAUCCGUACUGUGGGUGGAGGAGCCACUGCAGAUGUUGGGGUAAGGAAGCCAAGGGAUGAGAGUGGAGCUGCUGAGCAGUGGAUGAGCUCCAGAGAGGGAGAACAGCUCCAGGGGCCUUGAUCCGGAAGACAGCGGGAGCGUCCAGGGAGAGCACUAGAGCCCUAGGAACACAAAGGAAAAAGAAGGAACAGAGAAAAGCUUUGGAGGUAACAAUGAGUCCUCAACAUCUGAACUCAGGGCCUACGAACUGGGACAAGAAUGGGGGUGGUCACUGGAGCCAUCCCUGAGGCACUACCUGGGUGCGUGACACCCUACAGCAAUCAGAUACUUCAAGGACUCUCAUCCCCGAGGGAGUUGCAAGAAACCAAGCAAGCUGCCACCUGGCCCUGCCUAGCAGACUGAACCUCAUGAAAUAUAGAAAGUGCUGGCUCCCUGGAGAAAGCCCUGGUGGUCCCUCACAGCUGUCAGGCCAGGAGGCCAAGAAGCAGGCAGAAUAAACCUUCAGGCCCCGAAAGGUCUGUGUGAUACAGAACAGUUCCAGCAAAGCACAGAAGAGGCCCCAACCCUCUGACUGAUGAACUGGAUCUAUCUACCUUCGAGACUUUA